rnacentral:rRNA from 1 species
CCUACGGGAGGCAGCAGUAGGGGAUAUUGCACAAUGGGGGAAACUCUGAUGCAGCGACGCCGCGUGGGUGAAGAAGCGCCUCGGCGCGUAAAGCCCUGUCAGCAGGGAAGAAAAUGACGGUAAGUGAAGAAGAAGCCCCGGCUAGCUACGUGCCAGCAACCGCGGUAAUACGAAGGGGGCAAACGUGAUCCGGAUUUAAUGGGUGAAAAGGGGGCGCAGACGGCGCUGCAAGCCAGUAGUGAAAGCCCGGGGCUCAACCCCGGGACUGCUCUUGGAACUGCGUGGCUAGAGUGCAGGAGGGGCAGGUGGAAUGCGUGGUGUAGCGGUGAAAUGCAUAGAUAUCACGCAGAACCCCGAUUGCGAAGGCAGCCCUCCGGCGCCCUACUGACGCUGAGGCACGAAAGUGCGGGGAUCGAACAGGAUUAGAUACCCGAGUAGUC